GACGAACGCUGGCGGCGUGCUUAACACAUGCAAGUCGAACGGGCCCGCUCUCUUUUUUGGGGGUGGGUUGAGUGGCGAACGGGUGAGUAUCACGUGAGUAACCUGCCCCCUGCUCCUGGAUAACUGCUUGAAAGGGCGGCUAAUACGGGGUGUGCCGGCUGGUCCGCAUGGGCCUGGUCGGGAUAGUUUCAUCUUCGGGUGUUUCGGUGGGGGAUGGGCUCGCGGCCUAUCAGCUUGUUGGUGGGGUGAUGGCCCACCAAGGCGGUGACGGGUAGCCGGCCUGAGAGGGUGGGCGGCCACACUGGGACUGAGACACGGCCCAGACUCCUGCGGGAGGCAGCAGUGGGGGGUAUUGCACAAUGGGCGGAAGCCUGAGGCAGCGACGUCGCGUGAGGGAUGGAGGCCUUCGGGUGGUGAACCUCUUUCUCCGGUGGUGAAGGCCCUGUCUGUUGCGGCGGGGUUGACGGUAGCCGGGUAUGAAGCGCCGGCUAACUACGUG
rnacentral:rRNA from 1 species